GAUUUAUUAAGAAGAAGGGAGAGGAAGCUCUGUGAUCUUCUAGCAACUUUUCAGUAAUUGAAAUAAGUGCUUUACUUUUUCCUAAAUGUUUAGGAAAAUAAAUU
rnacentral:ncRNA from 2 species